rnacentral:rRNA from 1 species
CGGGGGAGGGGGAAGCUGAUCAGCCAUGCCGCGUGUGUGAGAGGUCUUCGGAUUGUAAGCACUUUAAGUUGGGAGGAAGGGCAGUUACCUAAUACGUGAUUGUUUUGACGUUACCGACAGAAUAAGCACCGGCUAACUCUGUGCCAGCAGCCGCGGUAAUACGGGAGCCAGCAGCCGCGGUA